rnacentral:rRNA from 1 species
CCUACGGGGAGCAGCAGUGAGGAAUAUUGGUCAAUGGACGGAAGUCUGAACCAGCCAUGUCGCGUGCAGGAAGACGGCUCUAUGAGUUGUAAACUGCUUUUGUACAAGGGUAAACCUGAAUACGUGUAUUCUGCUGAAAGUACUGUACGAAUAAGGAUCGGCUAACUCCGUGCCAGCAGCCGCGGUAAUACGGAGGAUCUAAGCGUUAUCCGGAUUUAUUGGGUUUAAAGGGUGCGUAGGCGGAUGGAUAAGUUAGAGGUGAAAUGUUCGAGCUUAACUCGGGAACUGCCUCUAAUACUGUCGGUCUAGAGAACAGAUGCGGUAGGCGGAAUGUAUGGUGUAGCGGUGAAAUGCUUAGAUAUCAUACAGAACACCGAUUGCGAAGGCAGCUUACCAAUCUAUCUCUGACGUUGAGGCACGAAAGCGUGGGGAGCAAACAGGAUUAGAUACCCGAGUAGUC